rnacentral:rRNA from 1 species
AUUGAACGCUGGCGGCAGGCCUAACACAUGCAAGUCGAGCGGAUGAAGGGAGCUUGCUCCUGGAUUCAGCGGCGGACGGGGGAGUAAUGCCUAGGAAUCUGCCUGGUAGUGGGGGAUAACGUCCGGAAACGGGCGCUAAUACCGCAUACGUCCUGAGGGAGAAAGUGGGGGAUCUUCGGACCUCACGCUCUCAGAUGAGCCUAGGUCGGAUUAGCUAGUUGGUGGGGUAAAGGCCUACCAAGGCGACGAUCCGUAACUGGUCUGAGAGGAUGAUCAGUCACACUGGAACUGAGACACGGUCCAGACUCCUACGGGAGGCAGCAGUGGGGAAUAUUGGACAAUGGGCGAAAGCCUGAUCCAGCCAUGCCGCGUGUGUGAAGAAGGUCUUCGGAUUGUAAAGCACUUUAAGUUGGGAGGAAGGGCAGUAAGUUAAUACCUUGCUGUUUUGACGUUACCAACAGAAUAAGCACCGGCUAACUUCGUG